AAUAAAAGCCCGACUGGAAAAAAAUCUCAGUCAUUCCCCACCGAGCCAGCCAGCGGCGCCCCCAAAUCCCAGAUCUGGCCGCCGCCAGCCAGCGGCGUCCCAAAUCCCUCGUUGUUCCUGGGCUGAUGCGCCCCAAAUCCGUCGCCAACCUGCUGCGCCCCAAAUCCCCCGUCGCCGGAUGCGCCUCGUCCAACCUCUCGGCCGCCCCAUUCGCUAUAUUCGCUGGGUUGCCGAACAAGGAAUGGUCGCCUUCGGAAUAUCGCCGUCAACUUCGCCUCUACCUCCAGAGGGCGUCGUCAAAGUACCCGCCGAUGUCAAGUCGAUUGCCAUCGCAUCCUUGUUUGAGUGCCACCCCUUUCCAUCCAGGUGAGUACCCCCGACUGGAUUCGCCAGAAAAUAACGAGAAUUGUCUCCUUCCUCAUUUGCUCGGUACUGAUAGAAGAAAAUGACUUUAUACAGACAUUGGUUUUGAAUAGGCCAAGGUAGUUACAUGACUGAUCCUAAAACAUCACUUCUUCAGAGGAGGGAAACAGAGUUGAACUGUUAAUUGUAAAGGUCAUGGACAAUACUGCAGGCUUGUUAUCAUUUAAUAUAUCACUGGUUUCUCAAAUAUAGCUCUGCAUAUCUUCUUUUCUAGUUCUGUAAUCGUGGGUCACCCCUUCCAAUAUUUGUAUGUUGUGUAUCAACAUGUAACCGGAAGUUGAAACUAUUGCGUAAGCAGUAACAGUAAACAUUGGUUACCCAGUUAAUUUUCUCAAGAUCGAGCAAUAAAUAAGAAUCUUGAAAAAGUCAUUAGCAGGUUCUAUACAUAAACUAUUUUUUGUCUUGUGUUGGGACACAUGGUGCAUAAGGUUUUUUACUUGUGCCUUCGCCCUUCCAAAGUUUAUCAUGAAUAAUUGUAUGGCAUGUUUUCUCCUAUAUAUUACAAUAACAUUCGAUGUCUAGUAUGCUCAAGAUCAUCUGGUCUGUUUUGAGCCAAUAGCUGCUACAUUUGUUCAGUCUUAAACUCUUAAUGUUACUUUCUAUUGUAUUUUCUUAUGAUUUUUUUAUGGUCUGACUAUCGAGUACGUAACGGUUUUGCUCUCUAAUUUGUUUGUCCAUACCCUUUGAUUUAAUCUCUUUCAUUAUUUUUGGAUUUAGGAAGAAUUGAACAGACUUCACAGGUUAUCACUCAAUGUCAAGAAAUUGAAUAAUACUCGUCCAAAUGAAGUGGAGAAAAAUUCAAGAUCUGGGAUCUAUGAGAGAUGCAAGAGCCUUUGCUCUAAUCAAGGGACAAUUGAACCGUCGCAUGGAAAGUACAAGGAAGAUGAUCAGCACAACAAGGAAGAUCAAUAAAGGCAAGAAAUUAUACAUAUUCUUCUAAAUAAAGAGGGUAACCUUGAAGAGAAGGUUGCAACUUAAGCUGUAACAAAACAUUAUGAAAAGAGGUCUCACGCUGUGAAUAUUUAGUUGAUGCACUAGUGUUUUUAGAUGUUGCGCCUCUGUUUUCAUUGUCCUUUGAUUCAUGUAUGCAAGUUCGAUGGAAUUGUAUCCGAAGCAUGUGAAUUUGUAACUCUAUGGUUGAUGGAAGCUAUUGAUAGUGAUGUUUCUCUGUUCUAAA